rnacentral:misc_RNA from 1 species
GAUGAAGAACGUAGCGAAAUGCGAUAAGUAAUGUGAAUUGCAGAAUUCAGUGAAUCAUCGAAUCUUUGAACGCACAUUGCGCCCGCCAGUAUUCUGGCGGGCAUGCCUGUCCGAGCGUCAUUUCAACCCUCGAACCCCUCCGGGGGGUCGGCGUUGGGGAUCGGGAACCCCUAAGACGGGAUCCCGGCCCCGAAAUACAGUGGCGGUCUCGCCGCAGCCUCUCCUGCGCAGUAGUUUGCACAACUCGCACCGGGAGCGCGGCGCGUCCACGUCCGUAAAACACCCAACUUCUGAAAUGUUGGCCUCGGAUCAGGUAGGAAUACCCGCUGAACUUAAGCAUAUCAAUAAGCGGAGGA